rnacentral:rRNA from 1 species
AUGCGCCGAUCGCGACGUCUCUCCUACCGGUUGGGCGUUUUGGCUACGUCGAGUACAGUAGUACUGUACAUCUGUACAUGGCGGCGUGGUGCUGCGAGGUCGUGUCCGCCUGCGUGGCGAGGCCCGGUGGAGAUUGGGAUGAGGGCCGUGAGGUGCGUGCUUGGCUAUUUUGGUUCGAUCCGUCGCUGCCCUUCUCGUUGGCGUUGCCUCGUUGGGCGCCGGGCUUCCCGCAAUGAUCAAAGAACGGGUACGAAUAAGGACCUCCUGGUCCCGCCGUCUCCAUGGAUGGAUAUUGCACGUCCUCCAUCGACUUCCUCCCUCGGUGCGUUCGCCCCCUCCCUCCCUUACCGCCUGUAG